rnacentral:tRNA from 1 species
UCUAGAGAAUACCGUUUCCACGAAAACGGUCAAAUCCAAAGCGACUGUCUGAACAUCUCUUUUUGAGAAGGGGUAUAAUUCUGCUGGGUCAGUAGUUCAGGUGGUUAGAAUGCCGCUCUGAUGCAGCGGAGGUCGAAGAUGCGAGUUCUUCCUGAGCCACCACUUAAAUUGAUGAGGUUGGAAUCAAAAACAAAUACUUGUUUUUGAUUCCUGAUGUUCUGAUAGAAUAUCUUCGGAAUCUGCUUUUAUUAGCAAUCAUUGUCUAUCGGUUUUUAAUGUCGUAAAUCAGACUCUAUGGAAACAUGACUUUUGAUUUAUUGAACAUCGUAAUCUCACAAAUCUGUCUAAAUAGAGUAAUCGCGAAAGUGAUAAUUCCAUUAGAGAUGCCAGAAUCAACUUGCAUGCUUACUAAACUCAUUAUGUUCGUUUGAUUGAGUCUGAAGACUUUCUCUUCAAGCAUAAGAUACAACGUAACACAGGGUGUUUAGUGGAUGCCUUGCCAAUCAGAGGCGAUGAAGG